GGAGGGAUGUAGCUCAGUGGUAGAGCGUGUGCUUUGCAUGUAUGAGGCCCUGGGUUCGAUCCCCAGCAUUUCCA
rnacentral:tRNA from 1 species